rnacentral:rRNA from 1 species
GCCUACGGGACGCAACAGUAGGGAAUCUUCCACAAUGGGCGAAAGCCUGAUGGAGCAACGCCGCGUGGGUGAAGAAGGUCUUCGGAUCGUAAAACCCUGUUGUUAGAGAAGAAAGUGCGUGGGAGUAACUGUUCACGUUUCGACGGUAUCUAACCAGAAAGCCACGGCUAACUACGUGCCAGCAGCCGCGGUAAUACGUAGGUGGCAAGCGUUAUCCGGAUUUAUUGGGCGUAAAGAGAACGCAGGCGGUCUUUUAAGUCUGAUGUGAAAGCCUUCGGCUUAACCGGAGUAGUGCAUUGGAAACU